AGACAUUUCCCUGGGACACUCUCAUGUUUAUGGAAUGAAUUGAGGCGCGGCACAGUCCGGAACUGAUCAGUGCAAGGGAGCCGAUAUCCCGGUGGUGGAUUUCAAGUUUUAGGAAGGGCACGAGGAGAAUGAAAAAAUUGCCAAGGAGGAAAAAGACCGGAGGGCAAUCUAUUGCAAGUGUGUCAGGGGCUGAGACAACGUCUACUGAUCAAUGUUUUCACUGCAUGUAGGAGACGCAAGG